rnacentral:tRNA from 1 species
GGAGGGGUAGCGAAGCUACCAAACGCGGGUGGCUGUAACCCACUUCCUCACGGUUCGGGGGUUCGAAUCCCUCCCCCUCCACCA